rnacentral:lncRNA from 1 species
AAGCGAAUGGUUUCCUAUUUUAGGCCCGUAAUAACUCCCAACUGCUUGCAUAUACAUGGGCCUUACAGUAUUGAGGCAACUUUUAAUCCCAGAAAAGAGCAGCCUGUUUUCUAGCAGGGUCUAUUUUUGAAUACCCUGUGGGAUCCUCCCUCUCUCACCAUCCUCCAUCCUCCCCUUGAUUUUGGGGAGUCAGGAGAGAGGAAAUAAAUGAAAUGCGUGCGGCAAGAGGAGCGGUUUGUUUUC